GAGAAAGCCUUGUCAUAUAAACUAAUGUUGGAAUGAUACAGAGAAGAUUAGCAUGGCUCCUGUAAAAAAGGGUGACAAGCAAAUUCAGGAAGCUUUUGAUAUUUAU